rnacentral:rRNA from 1 species
ACCAACAGGGAUUCCCCUAGUAACGGCGAGUGAAGCGGGAACAGCUCAAAUUUGAAAUCUGGCCCUCGGGUCCGAGUUGUAAUUUGUAGAGGAUGCUUUUGGUGCGGUGCCUUCCGAGUUCCCUGGAACGGGACGCCUUAGAGGGUGAGAGCCCCGUACGGUUGGACGCCUAGCCUCUGUAAAGCUCCUUCGACGAGUCGAGUAGUUUGGGAAUGCUGCUCUAAAUGGGAGGUAUAUUUCUUCUAAAGCUAAAUACUGGCCAGAGACCGAUAGCGCACAAGUAGAGUGAUCGAAAGAUGAAAAGCACUUUGAAAAGAGGGUUAAAUAGCACGUGAAAUUGUUGAAAGGGAAGCGUUUAUCACCAGACUUUUUCUAGGGGGAUCAUCCGGUGUUCUCACCGGUGCACUUCCCCUAGUUGAGGCCAGCAUCGGUUUUCGGAGGGGGAUAAAAGUUUCGGGAAUGUGACUCCCCCGGGAGUGUUAUAGCCCGUUACAUAAUACCCUUCUGGGGACCGAGGUUCGCGCAUCUGCAAGGAUGCUGGCAUAAUGGUGAUCAACGACCCGUCUUGAAACACGGACCAAGGAGUCGAACAUUUAUGCGAGUGUUUGGGUGUCAAACCCUCACGCGUAAUGAAAGUGAACGGAGGUGAGAGCCCUUACGGGUGCAUCAUCGACCGAUCCUGAUGUCUUCGGAUGGAUUUGAGUAAGAGCAUAACUGUUCGGACCCGAAAGAUGGUGAACUAUGCGUGGAUAGGGUGAAGCCAGGAGAAAUCCUGGUGGAGGCUCGCAGCGGUUCUGACGUGCAAAUCGAUCGUCAAAUCUGCGCAUGGGGGGCGAMAGACUAAUCGAACC